UACCGCGGUUAUACGAAAGACCCUAGUUUAUAGACACGGCGUAAAGGGUGGUUAAGGGACUAACAAAAUAAAGCCAAAGACCUCCUAAGCCGUCAUACGCUCACGGAGGCACGAAGCCCAAACACGAAAGUAACUUUACUAAAUAUGCCCGACUCCACGAAAGCUGGGAAA
rnacentral:rRNA from 1 species